CGGAACGAUGACCAAUAAUUCCACGUAUUUAUCAAUCGCUGUACAAAUACCGAUUGUGAUAAUAAUUGAGCUGAUGAUACCGACUGUGGUACCUACUCCAUUGUCCAUCAGUCCAUGGUGAUUUUCUUUCUCCAUGGUUUCCUUCCUCCAUGGUUUCCUCUACCAUGGUCCAUGGUGCGUCAUGGAAGGAAUGACUCGUCUUUCUUCCUUUCCAUCACGAUGGCGACCAUGGCGACUGUUAAGUAAAAACGUGUUAGCACGUGUCGCGAGAUUUGGAGUUAUUAGAUCAUAAAAAUUUUUGCAAAACUGUUGCGUUAUGUUAACGCAACUAUGUUUUUGCAAAAAAAGUAGUCGACAUUACUGGUUGAAUAAGCAUUACAUAGAAUACAUAAUGCUUACCAAGUGUUUGCUAUCCUAUGGAUCUUGUUAACUAUACCGUGAUGCCGAAUUGCUGUUUUCAACAUAGUAAGUCUGUGGAAGAAUCUAUUGCUUAAGUGUCCCUGCCUCAAUUUUCUUAUAAAGAAAUAUCACAGACAGUUCUUAAUUUAUAUCACAAAUUGGAAUUGGCAAAAUACAUUCGGCAGAUUGGCUAGUACUCGAGGUGUAUAGUUGCUAUUACAAUUCUGAAUGGCCAUUUGAACUAUUAUCUGUUGGAUCGAUUGUAAUCUGAAAUGCUGGGUAGAGCAGUCAUUUUUGUGAUUCAGGAUUCCAAUUUGUCUUCUUAAAUUAUCUUGACUAAUAUGUUUAUUUCCUAACUAAAUUACUUGUAUGUAAUUUUUUUUGUAGACUGUUCACAGUCAGUCAGAAGAUAAUUUUAAAUAAUAUCUUAUAAUGGUCUUUGGUUGCUUGGUCUUUGGCAACCGCGGAGCCUAUUUUAAGAUAUCAUUUAAGACUAGCCUAAAAUCCGAUCAUGAAUACAAAGUCUGUUUUUUUUUUUUAAACUUUGUGAAACACAAGACUACUAUACUGGAAACAGUUUUUGUAUCUAAGCCUGUACAAAUUAUUAAAUAAAGAUUUUGAUGAAUUAAA